AACCUGGUUGAUCCUGCCAGUAGUCAUAUGCUUGUCUCAAAGAUUAAGCCAUGCAUGUGUAAGCACACACUGUUUUAAAAGUGAAGCCGCGAAUGGCUCAUUACAACAGCCACAGUUUAUUAGAACUUACAAUCAUGGAUAACUGUGGUAAUUCUAGAGCUAAUACACGCACAAAAACUUCAACUGAAUUGGUUGAAGUGCUUUUAUUAGAACAAAAACCGAACGGCGUUUGACGAAUGUUGAACGUCGAAACUGUUUGGUGAAUCUGAAUAACUAUUUCUGAUCGCAUGGUCUAGCACCGGCGACAUCACUUUCAAGUGUCUGCCUUAUCAACCUUCGAUGGUAGUCUAUGCGACUACCAUGGUGAUAACGGGUAACGGAGAAUCAGGGUUCGACUCCGGAGAGGGAGCCUGAGAAACGGCUACCACAUCCAAGGAAGGCAGCAGGCGCGCAAAUUACCCACUCCCAGCUUGGGGAGGUAGUGACGAAAAAUAACGAGACGAUUCUCGUUUGAGAAACGUUAUCGAAAUGAGUACGCUUUACACACGCUAACGAGUAGCAAUUGGAGGGCAAGUCUGGUGCCAGCAGCCGCGGUAAUUCCAGCUCCAAUAGCGUAUAUUAAAGUUGCUGCGGUUAAAACGCUCGUAGUUGAAUUGUGGUCUUAGACAACAGUCCCCCUACAAAGGUGUGGCACGGUUGCUCGAGAUCUCCAUUCGUGGUUGCUGUUGUUGCUCUUCAUUGAGUGUCAAUGGUGCCUCGAGAUUUUACUUUGAAAAAAUUAGAGUGCUCAAAGCAGGUUGUGAUGCCUGAAUAAUGGUGCAUGGAAUAAUAGAAUACGAUCUCGGUUCUAUUUUGUUGGUUUUCGAACCGGAGAUAAUGAUUGAAAGGAACAGACGGGGGCAUUCGUAUUGCUGCGUUAGAGGUGAAAUUCUUGGAUCGCAGCAAGAUGAACAAUUGCGAAAGCAUUUGCCAAGAAUGUUUUCAUUAAUCAAGAACGAAAGUUAGAGGUUCGAAGGCGAUCAGAUACCGCCCUAGUUCUAACGGUAAACUAUGCCAACCAGCGAUUCGCCGAAGUUCAUUUAAGACUCGGCGAGCAGCUUCCGGGAAACCAAAGUGUUUCGGUUCCGGGGGAAGUAUGGUUGCAAAGCUGAAACUUAAAGGAAUUGACGGAAGGGCACCACCAGGAGUGGAGCCUGCGGCUUAAUUUGACUCAACACGGGAAAACUCACCCGGCCCGGACACUGGAAGGAUUGACAGAUUGACAGCUCUUUCUUGAUUCAGUGGGUAGUGGUGCAUGGCCGUUCUUAGUUGGUGGAGCGAUUUGUCUGGUUAAUUCCGAUAACGAACGAGACUCUACCCUAUUAAAUAGUGACAGUAUUGUAUUUUUUGUGCUGAUCACUUCUUAGAGGGACUGGCAAAUUGAAAGCUGUACGAAAAAGAGCAAUAACAGGUCUGUGAUGCCCUUCGAUGUCCGGGGCUGCACGCGCGCUACAAUGAAAGCGUCAACGUGAGUUACGUCCUUACCUGAAAAGGUUUGGCAAUCGAAUGAAACGUUUUCUUGAAUGGAAUAGGGAAUUGCAAUUGUUUCCCUUGAACGAGGAAUUCCCAGUAAGCGUGAGUCAUUAGCUCGCGUUGAUUACGUCCCUGCCCUUUGUACACACCGCCCGUCGCUACUACCGAUUGGAUGAUUUAGUGAGGUGUUUUGACUGGCGCCAGUAGUCGGAUAUGUAUUCGGCUUCGCGCCGGGAAAUUUCCCAAACCAAAUCAUCUAGAGGAAGUAAAAGUCGUAACAAGGUUUCCGUAGGUGAACCUGCGGAAGGAUCAUUA
rnacentral:rRNA from 1 species